rnacentral:rRNA from 1 species
CCCAGACUCCUACGGGAGGCAGCAGUGGGGGAUAUUGCACAAUGGGGGGAACCCUGAUGCAGCGACGCCGCGUGGGUGAAGGAGCGUUUCGGCGCGUAAAGCCCUAUCGGCAGGGAAGAAGGAGGACGGUACCUGACUAAGAAGCCCCGGCUAACUACGUGCCAGCAGCCGCGGUAAUACGUAGGGGGCAAGCGUUAUCCGGAUUUACUGGGUGUAAAGGGGGCGCAGACGGCAGCGCAAGCCAGGAGUGAAAGCCCGGGGCCCAACCCCGGGACUGCUCUUGGAACUGCGCGGCUGGAGUGCAGGAGGGGCAGGCGGAAUUCCUGGUGUAGCGGUGAAAUGCGUAGAUAUCAGGAGGAACACCGGUGGCGAAGGCGGCCUGCUGGACUGCGACUGACGUUGAGGCCCGAAAGCGUGGGGAGCAAACAGGAUUAGAUACCCCAGUACUC